rnacentral:rRNA from 1 species
CAGUAGCCGCGGGAAAACGUAGGUGGCAAGCGUUGUCCGGAAUUAUUGGGCGUAAAGGGCUCGCAGGCGGUUUCUUAAGUCUGAUGUGAAGGCCCCCGGCUCAACCGGGGAGGGUCAUUGGAAACUGGGAAACUUGAGUGCAGAAGAGGAGAGUGGAAUUCCACGUGUAGCGGUGAAAUGCGUAGAGAUGUGGAGGAACACCAGUGGCGAAGGCGACUCUCUGGUCUGUAACUGACGCUGAGGAGCGAAAGCGUGGGGAGCGAACAGGAUUAGAUACCCGUGUAGUCCCUGUCUCUUAUAA